GUUGGUGGUGCUUGCGCUAGUAGGAUGGCCGGCAGGUGAUAGGAGGAGUGCGGGCCAGGGGCGCAGCCGAUGGAUGCCAAGGGUGCAAAGCCACCGAGGCUCCUCCACUGGCACCAGGUGCCGUCUCACCUACAGUUCAACCCCUACAUCCUCACCGGCUACAGACCCCAGUUGUCGCCCUGGGGCAGUCUGCGAAGUCUCUUCUAUCUUCACAACGAGACAGUCAACGUGAUUACACAUGGUGUGCCAAUCGUGUGCAUCCUGGUGGUGGUGCCGUGCAUCCUGCCGUGGGAGGAGCUGUCGCCGACGUCCCGGUUCCUGGCGUGGUGCCACGUGGCCGGCUCGGUGGCGCCCUGGGUGGGCAGCUUCAUCUACCACCUCUUCAUGAACCUCCACUUCGGCCCCAACUUCUACAACCUCCUGCUGCAGGUCGACAUGCUCGGCAUCUGGAUCAGCCAGAGCUUUGGUGCAUUGCCCAUGGUGUUUGCCUCAGUGUUCUGUAUGCCCUAUCCCUUGCAAUGGUUUGUCAUCUUCAUCUACGGCUGUUUCUCCAUAGUUGGUCUUUUCAAGGUGAUGUCAGCAUCCUCGCCUUGGAGACGGAGAAUGAGUUUUACGUUAGUUGUAAUUUUACGAGUCCUUCUAUGCCUACUAAGAUGCUCAAAGUAUGGAGGCGGUGAUCCCAAUUCUAUGAGACAUCUUUUCUAUCAGGACGCGUUCUCGAUUGUGGGCGUGUGCAUAGGUGCUCUGAAGAUCCCCGAGAAGUGGUGGCCCGGCUCGCUGGACCUGUGCUUCAACUCACACAACAUAAUGCACAUCAUCGUGGUGAUGGCCGUCUACCCGAUGCACCAGUCCACCGUCAAAGACCUGCUCUGGAUGAACCGCCCACACUGCUGCUCCAAGAGCGGUCACGCCGACUAAUUAGCACUAAUUAAUUGCAUCCGAUCGAGAAUUGUGAUAAUAUUUUUACCAAUAUUCAAUAAGGAAGAACGAAGUGCAGUGCGUGCAAAAACUUAACGGCCAAACUUUGAUACCUACUGAUUAAGUUCAAUUAUUAAUCUUGAAAAUAAAUGAUUACAUAAGGCCCUUCUUCUAGGACACUUAGGGCCGGUUUCCGAUCUCGGGAUUUGGCUAAGUUCUAGACUUUAAACAGCUGGAGUAUGAAAAUUGGCUUUCCGAAACGGGGCUUAGUCGUAGUCAUUGUCAAAGUCACGUUUUAAGUAAAUUUCAAAAAACUAGAAAAUUAAACACAAAAUAAAAUAAAGAGAAAAUAGUGUAAAGUUUCAGCUAUUUUGAAUUAUUUAGAAAUGUUUAAUUUCGUCAAGGAAAAACGUUUCCAAUUAUAGAAAUGAGAAAAUAAAAACUGCGACUACUGUUAUAAAAACUGCGACUACGCCCCGUUUUGGAAAGCUAAUCUUCUGACUCCAGCUGUUUAAAGUCUAGAACUUAGCUAAAUCCCGAGCUCGGAAACCGGCCCUUACUGAAUCUUAUGGACUAUUACGUAGGAUUAAUGUCCAUUGCAUUAAAUUCGUGUCCUUUGGAUGAGUGUUCACGUUGAUAGUUGGAUGUUUCUAGGAAAGUUUUUAAACCUAAUGCCGCAUCCACAUGUUUGCCCAAUGACGGCCAUCGCCAGUGUGUGGAUGGGUAAUUUGCCAAGGCUGGCCUUCAUUGGGCACUGGUCACAUUGCAGGCUAGGCCAGCUUACUGCGCCAUCGACUGAGCCAACAUGUGGAAUAGGCACUAGGCUUUAAGCUGCGUACAGAUUUCAGCCCCACGAACACGUGCAUUUUGCUCUUCAUUAGCUGAUUCUAUGUUUAUUAUAUCUGUAUUUGUACAAAUAUAAUAAGCAUAGCAUCAGCUGAUUGAGAGUGAAAUGCGCGUGCUCGUGGCGCUCAAGUCUGUACGCACCUUAAUGGACCAUUGAAUCUACAGGUUUUGGAUGUGUAGAUUCUGGUCAUGUACAUUUUUAAUAAAUAAUCUAAUCAAAUCUAAUUGGAUUUUAUAAAACUCCUAGGAACCGAUUCUUGGAAUUCAAGGUUAUAAGCAUAGCAGAAAACUGUUCAGCAGUCAAACUUGAUCAAAACAUAAAGUGAAAUGGAUAAGAUUUCAGUCUGAUGUAAAUGUCUAGUGUAAGUUUGACUUGAAUAUGUUGGCCAAUGCAUAAAACCAUAGCAUAUUUACUUGAGCUACUGAAAAUAAUGAAGCACAAUAAGAAAUAUCAAGUAGGUACACUUUAUCACAAUACAACUAGUUUCAACUCUUCAAGAGCGAGUGUAAAUUUGAAGUGUAAAGUGAUUUGGAGAGUUUAGCGGAGGCAUCACAGUAUCGUGAAAUUACUACUCCCCUCUUAAAUUGUGACUUAAUUAGACACUUAUUUUGAACAUUAGCUAGCUCAAUGUUACUGAACCAUUCCCUUCAUUAAGUAAAAAAUCCAAUCAAUUUUAAUUUUACUGCAAGUUUGUAGGGAAAUUAGCUGGAAUAUUAUCAAUAUCUAUAUCAUUUCGACGUCUUCAUAUAUUUUGGGCGAAUUUCCAAAUUUAUUUCUUAUGAAAUUAGUAGGCUAUUGUUAUAAAAAUUCAAAGGUCAAAUUCAUGGACAUGAUCCAUGAGUUCAUUUCUCAAUUUGGCAGUUUUCUUUUUGCACGCACUGUACAUUCUGGUGCCAGAAGUUGGUCUUCACUAGUCCAAUAAAAUUGCCUUACAAUGAGUUGUGAUAGGUAGAUCUCAAAUACGAAAUAAAAUACGUGUUAAGAAAUUAAAUUAAUUAAUUCGAAUGGUAAGAAUAAUUGUUAGAAAAUAGUGUUCAUAUCAUCAGCAGUCGAGGUGGAAACUGGAAAGUGCCGUUUUCUAUGCAUGAGCAGAUAAUUUGUAUGCCUAGAUGCAACAUGCACUCAAACCAUAGUAAAUAUAACAUUUAUACUCCAAAUAACAACAUGAUUAAAAAUAAUAUUAACAAGGCAAAUUGAAGAAACAAGUAAAAAAUAACAUUGAUAUAUGAAAAAAGUAACGAUAAAACAAUAUUUAGGUAGGUUUUUCGUUUACCAAGUCGAUGUCAACGUGGACAUGAGCAUAAAUUAUUUGUUUGACAAAAACUCACAGUCUAAAAUCAAAAUUGGUCAAUAAAAUCAGAGACCAUGAAAAAAUUAUUAAAAUGUUUGCAUUUUACAUAAUAUAUCUGAGAUUAUGUGUUUUGUCAGUCUAGAGAUUAAUAGGGUUAUAUUAUUGUAAAAUUUACCCCAUACAUAAGUGAAUUUGUGAAAUUUUCCCAUUUUGAGGUGGAAUUAAUAAGAUAUUGUCAGUUCCUCACUCAUUCCCAGUACGUAAUCUCAUUCUCUCAUAAACGGCUGUGAUAUCUUCAAACAUAUGACUUUUGGAUAUGACUCCAACCUUAUAAUGCAGUUUCUUGAACAAAGUUUUUUACUGUCUAGUGAAUGAUAAGCACAUCAAGCAUAUUUUUAUGUUCAAGUUUACUGGCUCGACCUGGUUGAACACUCUUAUUACAUUUUCAUUAUUCGAAGUUACUCUAGUAUCGUUUACUUUCAAUCCCUAUAAUUAAUUCCUAUAACAUGAAUUUUUACAACUUCAAUAGAUGAAAAACUUUUGAGAAUAUUCUUAUAAUUUUCUAAUAAAUUAUGUAAAAAUAUUGUAAUUUCUUUCUCAAAGAAAUUCAUGCCUGAUACUUAUAGCCGCAGUUACAUGUUAAAGAAUGCACUUCUUCAAAUCUCUUGGAAAUAUUUUGAAUAAUUCAAUAAACUACUGAAUUCCUCUCUUCUAUAAUCUUUUGAACCAGCAAUGAUGAUUUUUGUCAGAAGAAUCUUAACAGUUACCUGUUGAGUAUUAUUUUAAUAGCUUAGCUUAUAUAAACGAAUGGAAUUUGACGUGAAUGUACGAGUAUGUUUGUGAUUGAAAUGCUUCAAAAAUUAGCAUGUCGAAAGUUUUUAUGAGAGAUUGAUAUUGUGAGAAACAUUAGUACUGGUAAUAGAUGAAUUGAACGGGCAAUAGCGAUUUGUAAAUUUGAUAUAUUUUUUAUUCGUGUAAGAAUCGAGAAUAAUGUAAGCAGCAGCAACAGUAAUUUAAUAAUUGAAAUUGAAUCCUAUCGCAGAAGUUAGAGACCUUGAAGAAGUAAAAAUUAUUACAUUUCUAUUUGCAAUAUUAUAUGAUGUUGAGUUGGUGAAUUUUAUUUUUGUGCCAUUUUUACUAUCCAUACUAUUUUGAAGCCGCUAAUUCGAUAAAUUACAACCCUAUGUUAAAGUAGGAUUAUGAAGCUGCGUUUACACCAAAGUUAUUAGCAAAAUGUUUAUUUUUCCGUCCUUAUAGAUUCUAUUAGAUUGAACAUAACUUAUCAUACACAUGAUGUGCAUAUUUGUUUGUCAAGCUCCGUUUAAUCUAAUAGAAUCUAUAAGGACGAAAAAAAAAUGUUGAUAACUUUGGUGUAAACUCAGCUUAAGAGUUACCGAAUAUUCAAAAUGAUAGCGGAAUAUGUACACAGUAAACAAACAAAACACUGUUAUUGUUAUAUGUUAUAUUAUAAAAUAUUGCAAAGGUAUGGUUGAACUAAGAAAAUACGAGAAAUGUUGUUCAAGUACAGUACCUUAUUGAUAACUUUAUAAUUUUCUAUGAAACUCAAUCUAUAACUGAAAAUACAAGAAGUACUUUUCUUAAUAUAAAUAAAAAUAGAAAUCUAAGUACCUUUUUUAUAAUUGUUUACUCACAAAACAAUUUUGAAAAGGUUACUUGGAUUUCUAUUUAUUUAUUCUUAUUUAACUGUAGCCCUACCGAAAAAAGACACUUUUCUUAAUGUUUGGCAAAUAAAAAAAAUAAUUUUCUGUUGAACUUGAAUAUCUAUUUUCGAAAAAAGAAGUUCUCAUGAAUUGUUUUAACACUGUGCUAUUGUCAAUGCUUAUCACAAUGUAGGCCUUAAAAUAAUGAUAAAUAAAAUGAUUUCUAUCACAUAAUUUUGAAGAAGCUAAAUGAUUGUAAACAUUGAUUCUGCUCUUUUCAAGUUCUUCCCUUGCUCUCUCUCUGAUUUUAUUCUAGGGUUAGUUUUUAAGUCACUCAUAUUGAGUGAAUUCUGCUGUUAUAGAAAGUACCAUUUCAAAUUUAUUGUUAAUAAUAUUAUUAACACUUCUUUGUAAGUGCAAAUAAGCUUUACUUAGUCGUAGAUACACAUUGUAAAUAAUAAUAAAUUAAUUAUUUAGUGAGAUAAUUAGCCUACUCCUCGUAUCAUUGCUAGUACUUAUUUAAAGAAAAUAUGAAAGCAAAUAUGAUAUAUUUGUACAUAUAUUACAAUAAUUCGGAAUGGUGAAUUUUUUAUAGUAACAAUUAACUGAAAGCUGGAUAAAAACGUGUUGAGGAUUUACAUACUUUCUAUUUAUUUAUCAAGAUUUGAGAUGAUAUACUCGUUGUCCUGAUGGUAAAUUGAACAAUUAAACUUGAAAACCAUGAUGUGCAAUUAAUAAAUUCAAGUGUUGUUAAAUUCUUAUUGAAAACGGAAGAUUGAACAGCAGUGUACCGGUUGGUUAAUUCGAACCAAGGAUAUGAAUGUAUUUAAAUUGUUUGAAUUUGUUAUUGAAAUUCAAGACCUACUCAAUCAUCGUGAUAAGUAUUUUAAAACAAUUUGUGUAUUUCAAAUUGAUUGUCAAAUGAAACCAAACCAUCAACUAGCCAAUUCAUUGGCAUCAUAUACUUUCAAGCCUUCAAACUCCAAUGCAAAUACAUAAAUCAAUUUUUUAAAAGAAUAUUCGAAUAUUAAAUUUUACUUACUGCUACCGGUAUGAAAAUUAACAAUAAGAAUAAUAAAUGCAUGUUAUAUUUCAAUAUGGAAACUAAAUUAUUAUUUUGAUAAAAUAUCAGAUUUAUCGAAAAAC
rnacentral:misc_RNA from 1 species